rnacentral:rRNA from 1 species
AGUGAACGCUGGCGGUAGGCCUAACACAUGCAAGUCGAACGGCAGCACAGGAGAGCUUGCUCUCUGGGUGGCGAGUGGCGGACGGGUGAGGAAUACAUCGGAAUCUGCCCAGUCGUGGGGGAUAACGUAGGGAAACUUACGCUAAUACCGCAUACGACCUUCGGGUGAAAGAGGGGGAUCGCAAGACCUCUCGCGAUUGGAUGAGCCGAUGUCGGAUUAGCUAGUUGGUGGGGUAAUGGCCCACCAAGGCGACGAUCCGUAGCUGGUCUGAGAGGAUGAUCAGCCACACUGGAACUGAGACACGGUCCAGACUCCUACGGGAGGCAGCAGUGGGGAAUAUUGGACAAUGGGCGCAAGCCUGAUCCAGCCAUACCGCGUGGGUGAAGAAGGCCUUCGGGUUGUAAAGCCCUUUUGUUGGGAAAGAAAUCUUUCAGGCUAAUACCCUGGGAGGAUGACGGUACCCAAAGAAUAAGCACCGGCUAACUUCGUG